rnacentral:piRNA from 1 species
UCUCCAUCGUUCCUGCACCGUAGC